AUGCUUUGGGUCAGAUACAAAGAAGUGAUGAGUUGCGUAAAGUGAUAUUCUUUGGCGGUGUUGAUCCCAGUCUCAGGCGAGUGGUGUGGAAACACAUUCUCAACGUAUAUCCAAGUGCAACGUAUGAAUUAUAUGCGUCGCAAGUCUGAAUAUUACUAUAAACUGCGAGACACUUGGAAAGCAGGCGUUAAAAACGGUUGUAUGGCUACUGGCGAAUUAGCUUAUGUAACUAGUAUGGUCAAAAAGGAUGUUUUAAGAACCGAUCAUUUGCAUCCAUUCUACGCCAGCAACGACGACGACCAGAACAUUGCAUCGCUUUUCAAUAUACUUACUACAUAUGCGCUUAAUCAUCCUUCAGUAAGCUAUUGUCAGGGCAUGUCUGAUAUCGCCUCACCUUUAUUAGUCACCAUGAAUGAUGAAGCACAAGCUUACAUUUGCUUUUGGGCGAUAAUGAGUCGUGUGAAGGGUAAUUUUAUGUUGAAUGGAAUCGCAAUGACGCAGAAAUUUGCUCAUCUAACUGAAGCAUUGAGUUACUAUGACGCAGAAUUUUGGGAAUACCUCAAAUCGCUCACGGCAUUCGGAAUAGCGCGCUACAUCCCUGAGCAGCUGAAUUUCCGUCACUGCUUGCGUGACAUGACGGAAGAGAAGGACAAUUUUUGCGAAGAGGUGAUGGGUCGGAAAGUAGCAAAGGACCCCGUAAAUAACUUGACACUUACCAGCAAGUAUCUUAAGCCGGCGUUCUCGAAAGUCGACGGGACGUUCGACCAAGCCUAUGAUGUGUUUUACUCAGCAAUGGACCAGCACAUGGUGCGGGAUGAUGCACCGAAUUAAGUUACUGGGAUUCAUACUGUUUACGCUGCUAACAGGCAAAAACAUCAGGGGGUCAAUUGAUCGGAACGCGUCUGCAUUCUAAGUUUGGAUUAAAAAGUUCCAUCCACACACUUACAUUUAUGGAAAAUCGUGCGAGAAAAGCAGCAAAAUUUAAACAGCGCCGCCGUCCACCGCCUCAUAUAGAUGAAGGUUCACUGCAUGCCAAAGGUAAGUUUGCAUUUACCCUUUCUUAUUAUUAUGUAUGCUUUUAUUUCAUUUUAGAUUAAAAAAAAAAAAAACAUACGCACUAUCGCUUCAGCAGAAUGCCAAAGGAUAUCAACAACCGUUCAACACAGCACCACUGUCAAGCAGCAUACUGCCGUAUAUUUAUUUAAUAAUCUUAUCUUAUCUAUAUUAUUUGCAUUUAUAUUAUGUAUUUAUAUUAUAUUAAUAAGCGGGGAUUUAUUUGUUAUUGUAAAUAUUAUUAUAGUUUUAAGUUUACAAUGGUGUAAGCCUAAAGGGGAGCCAGCUAUUUAAAACAAUUGGCAACGCGCCUAUCACGGCACCUCAAGGGUGGUGUGGAAAACAGUGCCAGGAAGCCGAUAAGGAGCCAACUUUGGACAAUGGGUGCUGACCAUCUAGCAGCUGGCAGUGUGAAUGUCACAAAUGAAAUUCAAAUUUUAUGAGCGGCAACACCCCAAGAACAUCGUUACCGCCCACUAUGCGCCAACAACAACGUACUUUUUGCAUACGACGCCCUUGCGUACAUUAUCAACUAGAACUUGUUACUCUGUCCGAUAUGCUCAUCAUUACACAUUGUUCCUUCUAAUUUAUUUCCAUCGAAGACUUCUGCUUUAGGCAUCUAUCAGAUUUUUGCAACUGCACCGACAAAUUUUGCUUAUUACCAAAUUACGUUAAACUAAAAGACGUGGAUUAGAUAGCAUAUAUUUUUAUUUUAUUUUUUUAUUUAUUUAUUUUUUUUUGAAUACAAACAAAAUUUUAUAAAUA